rnacentral:rRNA from 1 species
AAACUAAUUUAGUUUGGCGGCAUUUCAUCCAAUUAGAGGAAUUUGUCUAUUAAUCGAUAAUCCACGUUAAAUUUAACUUUAUUCAAAAAUUUAUAUACCGCCAUCUUAAGAAUUAAUUUAAAAAUAUUUCUCAAAACAAUUAAAAAGUUAGGUCAAGGUGUAAUCCAUAUUAAAGAAUCAGAUGAAUUACAUUAAAUAUAAUUUAAAGAUUCUAAAUAAAUUUAUUUAUAUAAAUAAGGAUUUAAAAGUAAUAUUACAAUAAUAUUAUAAUGUGAUUUGGCUUAUAAAUGUGCACACAUCGCCC